rnacentral:rRNA from 1 species
UGGGGAAUCUUGCACAAUGGGGGCAACCCUGAUGCAGCGACGCCGCGUGAGCGAUGAAGGUUUUCGAUUCGUAAAGCUCUGUCCUAUGGGAAGAUAAUGACGGUACCAUAGGAGGAAGACCCGGCUAACUACGUGCCAGCAGCCGCGGUAAUACGUAGGGGGCGAGCGUUGUCCGGAAUUACUGGGCGUAAAGGGUUCGCAGGCGGCAUGGCAAGUCCGAUGUAAAAAGCGAAGGCUCAACCUUCGUAAGCAUCGGAAACUGUCAAGCUUCAGUGAAGGAGAGGCAAGUGGAAUUCCUAGUGUAGCGGUGGAAUGCGUAGAUAUUAGGAGGAAUACCGGUGGCGAAGGCGACUUGCUGAACUUAAACUGACGCUGAGGAACGAAAGCGUAGGUAGCGAACAGG